rnacentral:rRNA from 1 species
ACGUAGGGUGCGAGCGUUAAUCGGAAUUACUGGGCGUAAAGCGUGCGCAGGCGGUUUUGUAAGCCAGAUGUGAAAUCCCCGGGCUUAACCUGGGAAUGGCAUUUGGGACUGCAAGGCUGGAGUGCGGCAGAGGAGACUGGAAUUCCUGGUGUAGCAGUGAAAUGCGUAGAUAUCAGGAGGAACACCGGUGGCGAAGGCGGCUAUCUGGACAGAAACUGACGCUGAGGCGCGAAAGCUAGGGGAGCAAACAGGA